UACGUAGGGGGGCAACGUUGUCCGGAUUUAUUGGGCGUAAAGAGCGUGUAGGCGGCCUGACAGGUCUGCUGUGAAAACUCGAGGCUCAACCUCCGAGAUGUCGGCGGAAACCGUCUGGCUAGAGUCCGGAAGAGGAGAGUGGAAUUCCUGGUGUAGCGGUGAAAUGCGCAGAUAUCAGGAAGAACACCUAUGGCGAAGGCAGCUCUCUGGGACGGUACUGACGCUGAGACGCGAAAGCGUGGGGAGCGAACAGG
rnacentral:rRNA from 1 species